UACGGGGGGGGCAAGCGUUGUUCGGAAUUACUGGGCGUAAAGGGCUCGUAGGCGGCCAACUAAGUCAGACGUGAAAUCCCUCGGCUUAACCGGGGAACUGCGUCUGAUACUGGAUGGCUUGAGGUUGGGAGAGGGAUGCGGAAUUCCAGGUGUAGCGGUGAAAUGCGUAGAUAUCGUAAGGAAGACCAGUGGCGAGGCGGGUCUCUGGACAGUUCCUGACGCUGAGGCACGAAGGUCAGGGGGAGCAAACGGG
rnacentral:rRNA from 1 species